GAUGAACGCUGGCGGCGUGCCUAAUACAUGCAAGUCGAGCGAACAGACGAUGAGCUUGCUCCUCUGACGUUAGCGGCUGACGGGUGAGUAACACGUGGAUAACCUACCUAUAAGACUGGGAUAACUUCGGGAAACAGGAGCUAAUACCGGAUAAUAUAUUGAACCGCAUGGUUCAAUAGUGCAAGACGGUUUUCCUGUCACUUAUAGCUGGAUCCGCGCCGCAUUAGCUAGUUGGUAAGGUAACGGCUUACCAAGGCGACGAUGCGUAGCCGACAUGAGAGGGUGAUCGGCCACACUGGAACUGAGACACGGUCCAGACUCCUACGGGAGGCAGCAGUAGGGAAUCUUCCGCAAUGGGCGAAAGCCUGACGGAGCAACGCCGCGUGAGUGAUGAAGGUCUUCGGAUCGUAAAACUCUGUUAUUAGGGAAGAACAAAUGUGUAAGUAACUAUGCACGUCUUGACGGUACCUAAUCAGAAAGCCACGGCUAACUACGUG
rnacentral:rRNA from 1 species